UGAGGAAUAUUGGUCAAUGGGCGCAAGCCUGAACCAGCCAUCCCGCGUGCAGGAAGACGGCGCUAUGCGUUGUAAACUGCUUUUCUGGAGGAAGAAACGCCGCGACGUGUCGUGGUUUGACAGUACUUCAGGAAUAAGCAUCGGCUAACUCCGUGCCAGCAGCCGCGGUAAUACGGAGGAUGCGAGCGUUAUCCGGAUUCAUUGGGUUUAAAGGGUGCGUAGGCGGACUUAUAAGUCAGUGGUGAAAUCCUGCAGCUUAACUGUAGCACUGCCAUUGAUACUGUUAGUCUUGAGUUUGGUUAAGGUAGGCGGAAUGUGUAAUGUAGCGGUGAAAUGCUUAGAUAUUACCCAGAACACCAAUUGCGAAGGCAGCUUACUGGACCGAUACUGACGCUGAUGCACGAAAGCGUGGGGAGCGAACA
rnacentral:rRNA from 1 species